rnacentral:lncRNA from 1 species
UCCUUUAUCCACCCCUUCUCAAGCUUCUCCAGUUCACCUGAACUGGAAAGGUCCCUGUUCCUCUCAGCACCCUCUUCUACCUGGCAGUCAGUCCUUACUCAACCUAGGAAAAGUGCUCUAGCCUUCCCCUCUAGUCUGGUGAGCUGCUUGGCAGAUCCUCCUCCUCUCACCUUCCCCUCCCCUGCGCCAUCUGGACAGUUCUCAAUCCCCACCUCCACCCGCGACUCCACCACCGAGUCAUCCUUCCUUUAGUUUUUGGAUGAUCACCGCAAAGACCCCCAAUUCUUCCCCGCAUCUGCCACCAAGCUUGCGAACCGGACCCUCAGCAGCUUCUGCCUCCACCCCCUCCGGGUCACGUGCUCCCAGCUUGGGCACCGACGGACUAUUUCUCUUUUUCCGCGGAAGAACAUACCAAACUCAUAGCCUUGGACUUAAGUUGUAUCACGCCAUUUUCUUGCCUCUAUUCCCAGCCUAGGGCAGAAAGUUUGCCCAGGACGUAUUUCUGUAAAGCGCGAAUUAACUCAAGAGAGGCCCCUUUAAAUGCAAAUGAAUCGCCUUCUUGCUCCGCUCCCCCCAACCCCCAUCCCAACUUCUCUCCUCGUGCCCAAACUCCACCAGCUGCUAUUGACGUCAAGCAUGCGUCAGCAUCGCCAGCCCAACCAGACAGCACGUGGGGGAAGAAGGCAAUCUUAAAGGGCCAGUAGCUCAGGGCCUGUUACUGGAGAAAGGAAAAGCGAAGUGGGGUGUUAGAAACUAUAGGAACAGGAAGAAUUGCAGAGACAUUCAGAAGGACUGCAAAAGGCCGACGAAGUGGCUCAGCGGAUAAAGGUGCUUCGGUACCAGCCGGAGAAGCAACUUCCCAGAGUUAUCCUCUGAGCUUCACACAUAACAUCUCUCCC